rnacentral:rRNA from 1 species
AUACGUAGGUGGCAAGCGUUGUCCGGAAUUAUUGGGCGUAAAGCGCAUGUAGGCGGUGCCUUAAGUCUGUCGUGAAACUGCGGGGCCUAACCCCGUAUGGCGAUGGAAACUGUGGCACUUGAGUGCAGGAGAGGAAAGGGGAACUCCCAGUGUAGCGGUGAAAUGCGAAGAUAUUGGGAAGAACACCGGUGGCGAAGGCGCCUUUCUGGGCUGUGUCAGACGCUGAGAGGCGAAAGCCAGGGUGGCGAACGGGAUUAGAUACCCCGGUAGUCCUGGCCGUAAACGAUGGGUACUAGGUGUGGGAGGUAUCGAUCCCUUCCGUGCCGUAGUUAACGCAAUAAGUACCCCGCCUGGGGAGUACGGCCGCAAGGCUUAAACUCAAAUGAAUUGACGGGG